rnacentral:rRNA from 1 species
UACGUAGGUGGCAAGCGUUGUCCGGAUUUACUGGGCGUAAAGAGCGCGCAGGCGGUCGGAUUAGUCGCGUGUGAAAGCCCCCGGCUCAACUGGGGAGGGUCACGCGAUACUGUUCGACUCGAAGGCAGGAGAGGGAAGUGGAAUUCCCGGUGUAGUGGUGAAAUGCGUAGAUAUCGGGAGGAACACCAGUGGCGAAGGCGACUUCCUGGCCUGUUCUUGACGCUGAGGCGCGAAAGCUAGGGUAGCAAACGGG